rnacentral:rRNA from 1 species
UCCGUAGGUGAACCUGCGGAAGGAUCAUUACCGAGUGCGGGUCCUUUGGGCCCAACCUCCCAUCCGUGUCUAUUGUACCCUGUUGCUUCGGCGGGCCCGCCGCUUGUCGGCCGCCGGGGGGGCGCCUCUGCCCCCCGGGCCCGUGCCCGCCGGAGACCCCAACACGAACACUGUCUGAAAGCGUGCAGUCUGAGUUGAUUGAAUGCAAUCAGUUAAAACUUUCAACAAUGGAUCUCUUGGUUCCGGCAUCGAUGAAGAACGCAGCGAAAUGCGAUAACUAAUGUGAAUUGCAGAAUUCAGUGAAUCAUCGAGUCUUUGAACGCACAUUGCGCCCCCUGGUAUUCCGGGGGGGCAUGCCUGUCCGAGCGUCAUUGCUGCCCUCAAGCCCGGCUUGUGUGUUGGGUCGCCGUCCCCCUCUCCGGGGGGACGGGCCCGAAAGGCAGCGGCGGCACCGCGUCCGAUCCUCGAGCGUAUGGGGCUUUGUCACAUGCUCUGUAGGAUUGGCCGGCGCCUGCCGACGUUUUCCAACCAUUCUUUCCAGGUUGACCUCGGAUCAGGUAGGGAUACCCGCUGAACUUAAGCAUAUCAAUAAGCGGAGGA